AAAAUGGAGACUUUUUUGUCUCUGUUUAAAGUACUUCUUCUAGUACUGAGAUCCAGAGCUGAUGAGAGAAUUUAGCCAGCGGAAUGGAAUUUCUUCAAUCUCUCAUCACCAAAGGGGGGAAUAGCUACGCCAUUGAAAAACUCCAGACCGAACACAUUCACAGCCAGCAACAGAUCAAGGAUUUGGAGACAAAGUUGGAAGAAAUACAAGACCAUCUUCUCUCCAAGUUAAAAGCCGUGGAAGUUAUUCAGGAAAAGAAUACUUGCCUGCAAGAGGAAAUCGCUUCUCUGAAAAAUACACUUGGCUAUAUUAAAGGAACUGAGCCAGCACUCUAUCAGUUGCCUGCCGCUCCAGUCCAUUUCCAGCAUAUUUCAGAGUCUAAAACCAGCAUCACAGCCAAGCCUUCCGAGAAAGUCGUAUUUUCCCAGUUCACAGAGUCCACGUCAACAGUCACUCUUCUUCGUGGGAGAUCUUCGUCUAGGACAGUCCGAUUCCCUGUAUCUUCUCUUGUGACAGUGAACAAAUCUUUAACUUCUCCCAACAACAGCAGCCCUUUACCACAACAAUACCUUUCCUGCUCUGACACCUUUGAUAACGAAGAACUUGGAAAAGGUCAGGACUAUAUGAGAACGUUAUUUGGUGGCACUAAGAAGAGCAGUGGUGAACUAAUGGAGAAGACAGGACGGUCCCUAAUUCCAGCCGAGUAUUACAGUUCAUCGUCAUCCAGUGUUGGGAACCUUAAAAUUACUGAAGUUCAUUUCAGUGGCCAUUAUGUGAAGAUAAUUAAUAGUUCCUCUGAUAAAGAAGAAAGCAUUGGAGAUUACACUCUUCAGCAGAACAUUAACGGCCACCCAGUGGCCAUUUUUAAAUUCCCCCCCAACAUCAGAAUGAAGCCGAAAUCCUGUGUGACGGUGUGGUCCAUGGAUUCUAAAAGGCAUCAUAAGCCUCCCACAGAUUACCUGUGGAAGGAGCUGGACAGGUUUCAGUCAGGCUCUCAAUGCACCACGAUUCUUUGUAAUCCUUCUGGACAGGCCGUGGCUUGGUACACGCCCAUCAACUGGAAGAAGAAGACCUCCAAGGUGGUGGAAGCAGAGGGGAGAGUCAGCAGGAAAUCUAUGCAGGCUAUUAGAAGAGCCCAGGCCCAACAACAGCAGGACCAGCAUGAAGCAAGAGCGUUUGAUGUAUGGCAGGCAAUGCCUAGUCAAAGCCACCUGACAGAACCCGAAGCAGAUUACCUCAUAAGAGAGAAAAGGAUGCCCCCCAUUCUGCGUCCUCCUCAGAAUUCGUGGUGCCGAAGUCCGAGUUCUCCAACACACCCCCAUUAUUCUCUGGGGAGAACCCUCCCACCGGGCAGCAAAGAAAUCCACAUGUUGAGCCAAACGAGGACCCAAGAGGUGAAAUCUUUUCCCAAUCUUGAUAGUUCCUACUCAAGAGAAGGUUAUAAGAUAAAGCUAGCCACAGCAGACAGGAACAAGAAAAGACGAUUGAAGCCACCUCGGUCAGCUGGGAACCUUACAAUCAGGGAGAAGGUGGACUAGAAGACCUCUAAGGUCCCUUCCAGCGCUAUGAUUAUAUGAUUCUUUGAUUAGGUGCCAUCAGUUUGGUGUUGACUCUUAUUCACCAAAUAUUUGGACCUUCCCUGGUGUGAUCUGACCCCAGUCUGGGUCUUGAGAUCUUCCAGAAUUGCACCCAUCACCACUGUAACCAAGAUGGCAUCCAUAUCUUGACCAAAAAAAGUCCUUUUAGACCAUCAAGAAGGCCAUCCCAGCUGCCAUCUUGACUUCUUCUCCAUCCCCAAGGUUGUCCUCACUUCAAUGUAAUGGAUGAUGGACCGACAUUAAAGAAAGGAAAAGGAAACAGCCACCAUCGGUGGAGAAUGAGGAAACAGACAUGAAGAAAUGAAAUUGCGAUCACUCAUAAUUUGCGACUUCACUCGGAACUGAAGAAUGUCUGGUUGUGGCCCUUUGUAUGAACAUUCAGAUCUCAGAAUAAAUAUAAAAUAUGCCCAAUAUUCGUGAUGAACAGUUUGGGAGAGAUGACCGUUUGAUUUCCAGGUGGCACAGUCGGGAUCAAAAUCCUUCCAUUGGGAUAAAAAAGCAGUUCCCAAAUAUCUCCCUGAUUCUUACCGAGGUUAAAGCAACUUAGAAAGGAAGAACGCCGAUUGAUUUUGUUCUUGUUCUACCACAUUGUGAGCUGUUUUGGAAACCUUUUUAAGAUGGAAAGGCAAGGGGAAGCCCCGUUGUGCCAGCCUAAAGCCAAACCUUUCCAUCUUCGGUCAAUCAACACAAGACUGAAAACAAUGAAUUGAAAAAGACAUUUUUCACGCCGGAGAAUCCUCCUGGGAUAAAGCCAGGAAAUACCAUUUUUGAAUGUUAUUCUCGGUUGUCAAAAUAGGAUGCAGGCAGUCCUCGACCACAACUGAGCCCGAAGAUUUAAAGUGAGACGUGUUAAGUGAGUUUUGCCCCAUUUUACGAACUUUCUCGCCACAGUGGUUAAGUGAAUCACCGCAGUUGAUAAGAUAGUAACUGGGUUGUUACAGCUCGUCAGGCUUCCCCGUUGACUUUGCUUGUCAGAAGUUUGCAAAAGGGAAUCAUGUGACCCCGGGAUAUUGUGACCGUCAUAAAUAGGAGUCAGAUGCUAGGUGUCUGAAUUUU